AACGAACGCUGGCGGCAUGCCUAACACAUGCAAGUCGAACGAGACCUUCGGGUCUAGUGGCGCACGGGUGCGUAACGCGUGGGAACCUGCCCUUAGGUUCGGAAUAACUCCCCGAAAGGGGUGCUAAUACCGGAUAAUGUCUUCGGACCAAAGAUUUAUCGCCUUUGGAUGGGCCCGCGUUGGAUUAGCUAGUUGGUAGGGUAAAAGCCUACCAAGGCGACGAUGCAUAGCUGGUCUGAGAGGAUGAUCAGCCACACUGGGACUGAGACACGGCCCAGACUCCUACGGGGGGGAGCAGUGGGGAAUAUUGGACGAUGGGCGAAAGCCUGAUCCAGCAAUGCCGGGUGAGUGAUGAAGGCCUUAGGGUUGUAAAGCUCUUUUACCCGGGAUGAUAAUGACAGUACCGGGAGAAUAAGCUCCGGCUAACUCCGUG
rnacentral:rRNA from 1 species